rnacentral:lncRNA from 1 species
UCACAAUGACAUAGUGUUUCUCUGUCACCUGUGUCGUGUUUAAACGUCUCUUGGCCUCGUGAUCUGGAAAGUUGGAUCUGACUGACUUCCCGCUCAUGACUCGAUGAAUUCUUACUGAGACAAAAGAGAAGCAUUACAUUCGAAGACUUCAAUCUACUAUAAAUUGACAAGCAAAUGCCCACCUCUUGCUGCAAGAUGAAGCUUCCAGGGACUUUUGUGUUUGUCAUGGUCUCACUUCUUUUCACCUUGCUUGUAGUUGCCUGUCAGGCUCUUGAU